rnacentral:lncRNA from 10 species
GGGGGACUGAGAUUUGAGAAUUCAUGGGAAUAGCAGAUGAGAAGCCGCUGUGGGUAACGUCUGGGGUGCGGAGAAAGUGGAGGCUGUGAAUGCAAGGACAGUGCUGGGUGCAAAUGGUAGAGACCAAAGCCAGGCGGGCACAGAGGAGCCCCACAGGCCGGCCUCAUGAGCGAGAUAUGGCUAGAAGUCUCUCAUGUCAUGGGAGAAGGGGAAACAAGAGAAAACUGGAAAUUAAAGAAUGACACCAACAAGAGGAAAGUUCUUAUCAACCAACACUUUUAAUUGCAAAAAGUAAAAACCUUCAUUACAAUAAACUUUAAUUUACAUACAUUCUUCACAUGGUGGAAGUCUUUACCAGUUUGUAGUAUCCUGCACUUGAACACAUACUAAAAGCUCAAGCCAUUCAGAGCCGCUGUGGCUGUGACAGCUGCCUGCCUCCCUCUGCUCCCUGGGACCAUCCAGGGCCACCACACCCUGCUCCCGGAAGGAGAGCUGCAGCUGACCCUGGCACCUGUCCCCGAUGAUGGCGGGAGCACUGCGCUGAGUCCCUGUCUUGCCUGUGACUCCUCCUUCCCCGACCCUCGGCAUUGGUUACUGACCCUUCCCCAGGGUGGAGGUGAAGGAAGGGAAGACUGCAGCCAACAUUUUUCUGAGGGUAAAACUGUGGAAAGAAGUAUGGAGGGAAGCCUGUCUGGAUAAGAUGGGGCUUUCUGGGAAUGUCAUGUGUCUGCUGGCUCCUGUCACCUCCCUGGAAGGGUCCACAGUGCUGGGGGGUUGCAGUGUGAAGAAUGGGAUGCUACUGUGAGUAAGGGUGGCUGCACAGGUGAGCCCCCUGCCCCAAGGAGCUGCUGUGGGGAGCGAUGGUGUCAAUGAAGCCUGGCACAGAGAAGAUGUCCCAACUCCCCAGUUUCUGUCUGAAACUCAGACCUCGGCUGGGUUCCUUUCUCCACACAGUGCUUGCCGCCAUGGCUCAUUCUUGGAUUGAUGGCUGCUGCCUGCCUGACAGACACACUAGGCAGAGGCGGAAGGGUCUCUGGUCCAGCCCUGUCAAAUCCUGACAGUUCCAGGUGUGAGCCACCAUGCCCAGCUUGAACCACUUUUAUUUUAUUCCUUCUCUUCCCUAAAAAAAAUUGAGGAUAAGCUCUGCCUUUUUUCAUCAACCAUAAUAAGUAUGGUAUCCAUUCACUACUUGACUGCUGGAGAGCUCAGGACAUUUGGACAGAAUGCUUCAAACUGGGGCCAAAGUAGCCUGUCUCCUCAGAGAGCUGACUUCUGGGCAUACGCAUCUCUGUAGUGGGAGGCCACAUGAAAGUGAACCUAACUCAUGUACAGAGGUCAUCGCCAUGUCACUUCCUAGUAAAUGCUCAAUAAACUUGUAAACCACCCCCUCUCUUUAGAGCCCUACAGUUUUGUUCUUAUUGUGGUGGUGGAGGUGGGGAGUUGGUUAGGUGGUCUUAUCGUCACCCUGCAGCCCCACUUUCUCAUCCUGACAACCCUCUUUCCCACACCGGGUCAUACAGAGGGACUUUUGAUGCUUCCAGCUAGAUGGCAGGGGCAUCCUGUGGCAUCCUGCUGUGCAGGGCCUUGAUCAUCAGAAAGGGACUGGCUGGCAACCCCUAGCCACUCCUGUCGCUCUGGCCAGUAGUAGAUUCUGCUUAUCAAAAUUAACUUGAGAAGUUGAACUGCUUCUGUGUAUGUAGAAAACCCUCUUUGGAGAAUUUUCCCCUAAUACAAGUUUACAUUCAAGUCUGAACUGGGUAGAUUUUAAGUAAAAUGAGUAGUAUAUCCAUAAAAGUCUCCACUUAUCUUCUGCUACAGUCAUUUUUUGUUGAAGUACAAAAUGGGACUUAGGGGACUUUCCCACGGGAUGCCUCAGAAUACCAACACAUGCAAGGGUUUCUUAUGGACAUUUAAGAUGUGAAGGGCAAGAGUGAAAUGGGGAAAGGAAUACAGAGUAACUCACAGAAACAAAACAGAGAUCUCAGUAAUCAAAAUAGUUGCUUUGUUCCUAAGAAACCCUCUCUUUUGUUAAUGGGUCUGAUUUUUAAAAACUCUCAGAGGCCUCUAAAGCACUUGUUUACACAUAGCCCUUCCCCAUGUACAGCCAGGGUAAGGACACUGCAGAAGGCUGUAAAAGCUUGCACAAAGCCGGCCUCCAGAUGAUCCCUCUGACUUAAAACCUCUUAAAUCAUAACUGCUUAACAACAUGACUUUCAUACGUACACAAGUUUUGUUGUUCCUGUAUUCAUCCACACAAGGGGUUGAUUAAGAAAAAAUUCCCUCAGGUACAGUUCAUCGGAGUUUCACUGAAGCCCGUGGAGGAGGCUCUGAUGUUUCUAUCCUGAGCUCUGUGAACUCUGCUUGUCCUUUGCAAGCCCAUAGACAAACAGGCCAUUCAAGUGCUCAAUGGUCCCCACUGCUGUUCAUGAGACCCACAGAGAAAGAGGGCCUGAGAGAUGAGAUGCAGGCUCCUCCAGGAAUGAAGAGGGCUUCACAACCAUCUUCACUCGUCAUUGUCUGCCUCUGAUCCAUAAUUCUGACAUAGACACCUACUGCAUCCUUUGAUUUCUGCAAUUCAGAACCAGAGGCCAAAGUGUAGUUUGCUUUUUCUUCAUCUUGGCAAUGGCAUGACCAGUGGCCAGCUAUCUAGUGGUGUCAAUAAAAGAAUAAUAAAGAGAGAAAAAAAUAAAAGGAACAGGAAAAGAACAUCCUUAUUUACACCAUUUGAUUGCUACCUACUAAAAGCACUUAGGAGAAAACAAUGCACAUAGUGAAUCAUCCAAUCAGAAACACACAGCUUUAUAUUAUUACAAAAAAGAAAAACACCUCACCUUGUCUUUGUUUCGCAGCACAGACAGAAAUCAUUUUAAGACAGAGGAUCACAUAGGCAGUUGUACACCCAGCUGACAAACACUUUGGGUCUGGAUUUCCUCCCCCAACCACAUUACCUUGGGAGUUACCAUUUUGAAUUAUUAUAUAAUCAG